rnacentral:lncRNA from 1 species
CACCAUUUUCGUUGCGUAAGAAACAAUAUACACUCCAUUUUCAUAAAAGUCACGUAGAUUACAUGUAAUAGGCUAUAGCUAUUACCAGCUAUAAGUUUCCAACUCUCCCACAGGUUAACAAAAACCGCGUAAAAAUUAAAAUGUAGGUUCUGAAUAAAAACCUCAAAUUACGUAGCCUUACCAUCCAUCUAGAUAUUAUAUGGAAGCCAUAACGCUGUAAUCAACAUCGUUUAAUUAACUUGUAAUGGAAUUUAAUCACCCUGCAAAAUUAGAGCUCUACAAGCAGGUCAUAAU